rnacentral:tRNA from 1 species
GGGCUGGGGCUCAGUGGUAGAGUGCUCACCUAGCAUGCUUGAGGCACUGAGUUCGAGCUUCAGCACCACA